rnacentral:rRNA from 1 species
UACGAAGGGGGCUAGCGUUGGUCGGAUUUACUGGGCGUAAAGCGCACGUAGGCGGAUCGUUAAGUCGGGGGUGAAAUCCUGGAGCUCAACUCCAGAACUGCCUUCGAUACUGGCGAUCUUGAGUCCGGAAGAGGUGAGUGGAACUCCUAGUGUAGAGGUGGAAUUCGUAGAUAUUAGGAAGAACACCAGUGGCGAAGGCGGCUCACUGGUCCGGUACUGACGCUGAGGUGCGAAAGCGUGGGGAGCAAACAGG